UACGUAGGCAGCGAGGCGUUGUUCGGAAGUUACUGGGCGUAAAAGGGUGUGUAGGCGGUUGCUUAAGUUUGGUGUGAAAUCUCCCGGCUCAACCGGGAGGGUGCGCCGAAUACUGAGUGACUAGAGUGCGGGAGAGGAAAGUGGAAGUUCCUGGUGUAGCGGUGAAAUGCGUAGAUAUCAGGAGGAACACCUGUGGCGAAAGCGGCUCACUGGACCGAUAACUGACGCUGAUGCACGAAAGCUAGGGGAGCAAACAGG
rnacentral:rRNA from 1 species